CCGAAGCUAAACGGUUGAAAAGCUCUUUUUUCGGUUAAAAUUUAAUUCUUAAGUACCUAUCGUGUUUCGCGGUUAGAUAGCAAAACCCUAAUGGUUAUCACCGUCAAGAGCAUGAAGGUGGUUACUUGCCUACGCAGGAACGUUUCAUUCAAGGGCCGAAAAUCAGGCACUCUUGAUACCACCAGGUACGUUAAGGGAGUUGCUUCACUCUACCUAACUAUCAAGUUUCCAAUAAACCACAGUACCGCCAAUAAAACCAGAGCAACCAAGACGGCAGAUACUUCCGUUUCAAAACGUUGAACAGUCUACGGCCACACUUUGAAGACUCCAUUCCGCAACAGAAAAGCAAGCG
rnacentral:lncRNA from 1 species